rnacentral:lncRNA from 1 species
GUUGCAAUAGUGCCCAUUAAAUUCAAGUCAUUAGAGACUUGAAACUUGGGCCAGUUUUCAAAAAACACAGAGUUCGGAGGAAACCCCAAAGCCCUGAACAAAACGGGUUGUACAUCAAAGGGGAAUAAGAGGAUCAGAAGUCUGGGGGAAAGACCGGCUGGGGAGACUCUGCUGUGCCCACCCCAGAGAAGCUCACAGGAUGCCCUGAAGACAGCAACCUCCAGGAAUGCAUUUAAAAUCAACCCUGCUCUCAAGCCAGCCCUGAGUUUUCAGUUUCAUUGAGACAUCUCUGUGAUCGGGUUUCUCUGUGUAGCUCUGGCUGUCCUGGAACUCACUCUGUAGACCAGGCUGGCCUCUAACUCAGAGAUCUACCUGUCUCUGCUGGUAUUAAAGACAUGCUCCACCACCACCUCUUGAAUUUUUUUAUUCUUUUGAUUUUACC